GAGCCCUGUCUGAGGUUCCGGUCUGGCGCCACUGUCACAGCUUGAAGAGUGGGGCUGGAGUGGACAGGGGGUCCCGGCGGGGUUGCUCAGUGGCCGGUGGAGGGGGACCACAACCGGGUGGCCACAGCGUCCUCCAGAGAAAUAUAAUUUCUGCUUCACCCGUCAAAUUUCAUAGCAUUCCCUCAUUGUCAAUUUCUCCCGGACAAGAGGCUCCCCCUUCUGUUCUGAUGAUUCCAUGGAGCCACAUGCCGGUCCUUGGGAAUUAUAGAAGCUGCAGACAAUGGUGACGUACCAUCUGACACACUGUCACUAGGUGGGAGGAGAAUGAUGUGGUGACAUGAUGCAGUGACAGGCAGGUACCGGUUUCUAGGGUCUGUGUCUUGAGUUUCAGGAAGGAGUCCUGGGAUGUAAUUCCUGGCCUGAGUGCUCCGACUCUCUGCUAUUUGAGGCUACUUUGUCCUUGUCUGUUGGUUUCCUUUUAUUUGGGUUUAGCCACAACCAGCAGUGCUCUAGGAGUACUUCUCAGUGCUCAAUUAUCAUUCCUACCAGAUCUCAGGGACCCUGUCAGUUGGCAUGGAUUCAAGACUGUCUUCAGUUUCAUUUGUAUUUUUUUUCUUUUGAGCAACAUUUAGUGAUCAUUGUAUUUUAGGACAGGAAUGAUAUUGUGUGCUUUAAAAUUGUUUCACUUAUAGUACUUGACUUUGCAAAGUAACUGUACUUUGAUCUAUGCAACGUAUUUCUUUUUAAAAAAAUCUUUUUAAUUAGUGAAUCACUGUGACGGUAGAGUUAACAGAUUUACGUAUUUUCGUGCUUGUGUUUCAGUCAUACAAUGCUCAGGUACCCAUCCCUCCACCAGUGCCCAUUCUCCAACACUGAUGAUCCCAGUAUCCCUCUACCCCUCCCCAUUCCAUUCCCCCACCCCACCUCGCCUCUGUGGCAGGGGAUUCCCUUUUGGGAGGUGAUGGAAGGGUCACAACGAGUGAUUCUCCUGGGUUACUUCUGGCUCAGGGCACCCACUUAAGUGUGCAUGUUACUCCGGCUAAGAUUUCACACUAGGUUGCAUUACCACUGAUGUCUAAAACAGUCCUGAUGCAUCACCCCCUCUGCCACCAGGCUCUGCAUCCUCUGACAGCUUCCUGCGGGACCCCUAGAACCUACCAAUAAGUGGGGAGCAUGUGAAAGUCAAAAAGCUCCACCAGAUACUAUUGAGUCCCAAAAAGUGAAGAAUGUAUCCCCUAACUUCACAGGGCAGGAGGCUAGUACACUGAGAGGACAUCUGCCUUGUAUGCUACUGUGACGGCAGCCAGCAGCCCCUAGGAUCCCCUGAGCACCCCCAGGACAGAACCCUGAGUGCAGAGUCAGGAGUUACCCCUAAACAAAUAUUUUUUAAAGGUAUAGAAAAAAAAAGCCUCCACAGAUACCUUUGAAAAGGGUAUCUAUGACCCUUAGGAUAGCUCUGGAUUCAGUCUCAGGAAUGAAAAGCCGCCAGCAACAGGCUGGCCUGGGGACACUCCCCACAUGACCCCUGCCCCCACCCCUGUGACCAUCUUUGUGAGGGAGCUAACACACGCCUAAUGCAGUCACACAUGCCCCGGGGAAACUGAGACUUCUUCUGGCUCUGACACUUUCUCUUUGGAUGGGGGCCGAGUGACAAGUCAGCAGGGAGGGCGCAGUCCUGGCAUCCCGAAUCCCGAAGCACAAAGACGGGAGUCACCCUGAGCACCGUGGGUGUGGCCCAGAACACAUACAACAGUCAUUUAAAAAGAAUUGACUCUCACUUGUUUGUCCUGUUAUUUUUGCUGUUCUGGAACUUUCCGAGACAUCACUCCCCAAGCUCUUAUUCCUCCCAGCCCCGCGCCACGUCUCACACCCGGGUUUCUUUGGAGAUUUCGGGGUGAUCACUCCUGGCCAUGCUGGGGGACCCUGCGUGGUCGAGAGGAACAGGCCAGCGCCCUCCCGAGACUGACGCCCCCUCCGCGUCUCUCGAGAGUCUCCUCAGGAAAACCCCGCUGCUCCUUGAAAUCAGUGAAUAAACAAGAUGAACUCCCCCAUGGUGCAGCGGUGCCAGGUGAAGGGCCGCAGCCUCCCACCCCACCACUGAGCGACCCGUGGCCCACUUGGUGACACUUGGCUGGCGAGACAAAAGGCCCUUGGGGACGCCUCCUGUCCCCUAGCACCCCAAUGCCUGCACCUUUCCCGCUCCUCAGCAGGCAACAAUGUCAGGACUGGAACUUCCGGGAAGCUAAGCGCUGGGUUCUGUGACUUCGCUGCAUCGCCGCUCAUGGCCUUAAAGGGCCAGGCUCCAAGGACUCCUGACCAGGCCGUUUCUAGUAAGGAAUGUAAUUUUUUUCCUGUUUCUUGCCUUUAGUCAGGUGACCAGGAUGUCUGGAGAUCACCAAGUACAAGACAAAUAGAGAGUGAGGGACUGAACAGAUGGCAUAUGCAGCAAAGUCUUUAUUUUUUAUGAAAAGAAGAAAGAUCACUAAGAUUCCAUGCAAACCACCUCCUGGACCAUGCCUUAGCAUGGUCUUACCCUGCCUGUUAUUCCCAAGGGUCAGCAUUAGGCUUCAAAACAGAGACCUGGAGGAGAAGUCAGAGCGGUGAGCAGAGAGAGGAUAAACCUCUAGCCCUGACCUGGAAGGUUUUCCUGCUUGGCCCCAGAGAUGUCCUGAUGGCAGGCACUCUGGGGUACCAGGUCAAGCCCCACCUCGGGGAGACACUGCCAGAUGCUCCUUCCUCUCCUGGGGAUGCCAAGUAGGCUGGAAUUUGGGCUGUCUGUCAGGAGAGGAGUGACGGGCUCAGUGGAUAGUUGAGGAUAUUGCAGCCCUGAGAUCCAGGACUCCUCCCUGGGUCCCAAGGAAGGUCUUUAUGGGCCCAGCCUGGGGCUACCUCCUAGGCCAGGAGCCCUAUGAUUAAGCACCCCUGAGCUUCAGGGCAGCCCACAGCAAUCACAGCCCCCUAAGUGCUGUGCGUGGGUGUUGCCACAGGGAAUCAGCAUGAACAAAACUUUAUCCUUGUUAUGCUCACAAAAUUAUCAUGAGUAUGUAUAUCUGAGUGUGAGUGUGUUUCAAUGUUUGGGUCACAACAGGAAGUGCUCAGGGCUAUUUGAACUUGGCAAUCAGGGAACACUGCUGUUGUGGCUUGGGGGACCAUUUGGAAUUCCAGGGAUUGAAGCUGGGUUGGCCUCGUGCAAGGUAAGAGACCUCCCCAAAGUACUAGCAAUCAGGCUCUGUCUAAAUAAAUUUCUGUCCAACACAGUACGAGUGAUCCCUAAAGAACUAUCCCCUCCUCAUCAAAAACCCCAACUACCCGGGAUUAGUGUUUGAAUAUUAAAUGUAAUCAAAUAUAGUAAACUACCUUAUCAAAUAGAAAAUAAAAAAUAACUCCUUGCUUUAAAAAUAACCCCUUUACAAGCAAUAUUCACCCCAACAGCCGGGGUCGCCUGGUCAGGGUCAAAGAGCUGGUGACGAAUUGAGAGAUACUUUUCAACUUAACUUGAGAGAGCAGAAAUUCUUUAUCAGGAAAAAGACACUAACGUGGGGGCGGAGAGACAGUUAAGAGAAUACAGUGAAAAUGAUCAAUCCUAGGCAUCCCAUGUGAAAACAUGAUCACUGAUGGAAAAAAUUUCUGAGAGUAGAGCCUAGAGUAUCCUCUGGGGAAUUACAGGUGUGCCACCCCCCCCCAAAAAAAAAACCUAAAAUUGUCAGAAAAGUAAAUUUUAUUUAAAACCCCCAGCCACAUGCUAGGACCAGGCCCCCAGGAUUCCUAAUGGCAGCUGCCAAUGAAAAACAUGAACUUCAACAAGGUCCUUCACCAAUGGGAGCUGAGGAGCUGCCCCUCAAAGAGAUCUGGCAGUUUGCAUACGCAUGUCUAAACCAAAAGCUUCAGGAGAGGAUCCGUCUCAACCCCUGGUUGAGAGGGUUGGGAUGCUGAAGACCUCUGCCAAUAGCAGGUCUGGCACCCCAAGACCCGCAUCCCACCAUGCUCUGCUCUGCACCCAGGACUCACUGCCCCAUCGCAGAUCUGGAGGAGGAGAUGCCCCCAAAUAUCACACACUCAUACCUGAGACCCCUGUGCUGCGCAAAAUUCCCCCCACUACAUCCACCAAAGCUCCACAUCCUCCUAAAGCCAAGGGAGCACAGUGGACCCCAGGAACAAAUUAGAUAUGGUUGAGGGGGAGUGAAAAACAACCACAAAGUGCCCCCAAAGCUGGCACGGCCUCGUGGGUCGCGGGUACAGGGACUGGAAGGGAGAGGCGCUCACGUCCUUCCACUAAUUGGCCGUCAGUGUCCUCCUUCGAUGGUGAUAUAUCACGUUGUCCUUUAAACCCAUGCCCGUAGGAUGCCUGAUCCACCUGACAUCAUUAGGAUAUAAAUGUGCACAUGGAAGACUCCCAUCUGUGGCAUCAUCAAUUUCAGCAAGGAGCCUUAAAGUGCCAGGUUCCAAGUGGAGACAGACCAUUAUGCCAGCCCAAGUGAAUCGGUGCCAGGGGGAUGGGCUCGGAUAAAGGAGAGGAGAGGCAAGUGCUGGAGGGGCCGGUAACAGACUUCAGGGCAGUGCGUUAAGGCGGAGUCCCGUUACCCUGUACUGGUCAAACAUAGAAGCAGUGCUCCCACAUAUGCCUCCAUCAUAAAAACAGAAGCAGACUGAUUCAAGGCAAAACAGACAAAUGGCUCAUGAGUCAACGAGUGUUUAAAACUAAAAUAAAAAGAAAGGCGCGGGAGAGGGAAAGAGCGCCUCACUGCACCGAGCCAGGCACAGGGCCUAGGGCAGCAGUGCUGUCUCUCCCGCCACCCGAGUUCGGUACCCUCCAGCCGCUUCCCCCACCCCGGGGAGGUUGAUGGCGAUGAUGUGGCAGGCGAAGGAAGGAACGGAGCCAAGAUGGUUGGUCUCACUUGCAGUUCAUUCCAAUCUUCCCUCUAUACACUCUCCUCCCCCACUCCUUCUCUCCAAACUCCUUUUAUUGAUCAUGGCCCUUCCAAAGGGCGCAAUACAUUGAGGUCACCAAAGGCACCAAAAGAUCUUACAGGAAGAACAUUGAGGCAACAUAAUUCUCUUGUAUCUGCAGGUCUUUAAUCUAGGAGCUAGGCCCCCUUGGA